CUCCCUCCCCAUAUUCAUCUCCUGCAAAAACCAACCCUCUUGUUUUCGUAAAUGGUCUUGUCUGCCCAUUGUAUCUAUUUCGAGCACUAUUGUUAUUUCCUCCACCGCUAUUAUUGUUAACCAUUUUCGAUGUAGCAACUUCAUGAUCGGUAGUAUUGUUAUACAAAACUGCAUCGAAAAUAACACUAUUCGCUUCAGCAUCUUGAUCCCACCUCCAAUUUUUCAUCUUCGUCCUUGUUGCCAUUCUUGCUCUUGUUUUCACCUUAGGAGCUCUUGAAUCUUCGUAAUUCCCCUUCAUAACCCUCUGCAUUUCCACUUCUCUCUCUCCAUUAUCAGUGGACCUACCCAAGCUCAUUCCAACAACAUAAGUUGCCCCAACCUCUGGCCCGACCCAAACUCGAGCCCUGGACACAAAAUGCCUCUCGUCUGCGUAAUCUGCAUCAUCAUUUUUCUUAAAUCCUAAUUUCGCCACGUGGAACCGCAAGUUAUCCACGCGUACCUUAACCCGAAUACACCCUUCAGAGAAACUAACUGAAUAUUCCAACUGUAAGAUUGCCUCUAACUGUUGGUGUGCUAAGGCGUACUUUAGCACUGAAUCCCUUGCUUCAAUAGCAGGAAAUUUGUUAUUUCUAGAACUUGUAGUAAGAUCCAUAGCCAAAAUGGGUGCAUAGCCCUUGAGUACCCAAAACCCAUGAGCCUCCAUUGCAUAAGAUAACUUUACUUGAUGAUCCAGCAUAGGGGCUAAAACAUGCAAUCCUACGCCCACCUCCCUUAAAAUAAGCCAUUUUGUUAGCAUAUACCCAAGGGUGCGCAUAAAACAGAGCUCGGCAUCCACUCCCACAGUAAUCAGAAAGGUUCGCAGAGCAGGGUUUUGUUCACAUUUGAAGGCUUCAAGGUUAGGACGCAAUAGGGAUUCAAAGUAUAAGGACCCAACUUCACUAGGAGCAUCACACACGCACAGCCAAAACAAGCGCAUCAGAAACACUAAGUUGAAGAAACUCGAAAAAGAUUCCAGUGAGUGAGAGUCCAUUAUCCAAGAAAUCGGUUCGGGCUUGAGUUUUUGUAGCUGUGAACGAGGACAAGUAGUAUUGUGCGCCAUGGGUGAGCGGGUGAUGAUUUCUUGGAGAAGCUGGAGUAAUAGGGGAAGGAAGGGUUUCUCUGAAUUGAGAGGACAGGUAUCAGAAACCCAGAGGGUCUUUGGAGCAUUGUGGGGGUGAAAACCCUGUAAGGAUAUAGUGAAGGUCACUAAUGCUUCCAAGUUGGACCCAGCAGUUCUCUCUGCUUUGAGUUGAAUAGUCCGAGUGAAGUCAUCUCCAGGCGGUUUGGAGGUGGCGAGUUCGAUGAUGUGAGAGGAGUCUGAGUCGGUCCAGUCGGCCAACUCAGGGAGCUCAGAGAUCCAGGACCAUAUAUCAAUCAUCAUGGAUCUGGGUUCAAUUUGGUUGGAGUUUUUGUUAGUUAAUUUGGAGGUGACUGUGAGAGAGGAUGUGUAAGGUUUAAAAGGAGAGAAUGAGUGGAAAAUGGAUAUGAAAACUUGGAGCUAACAGUAGCCACUAACCGGGCGCGAGAAGCAGUGGCUGUGGGCAGUUUGCGGGUGUAUUUUGAAGUUGCAUUAAUUACUGCGUUUUGUUGGUGAGGCAGCUUACACGUGUUCACUGAAGCUCGGAUACUUUGCUUGUUCAAUUUUACGUCACAAAAACUCCCUUAAAAUCUUCAUACAUAGGUUGGAGUGUAUUGAAUGAAAAUUUAAUAAAUUAAGCGAUAUAUAUAUAUAUUUUUGGUUUAAAAUAGAUUAUCUAGAUCCCUCUCUCUAAGCUCACCACAUUGGACUUCUCUUAGUACGUCAAUCAGUUUCAGUGGCGUACACAGCACAGGUUCAUGGUUCUGCAGGAAGAUGGGUGGCCUCUUGGCCUAAGACCACUGAAUGCAAGAAUUGGGUUGGUGAGAAAUCGUGAUUUCAAUGGAUCAAUUUCAUUUAGCACUCUACUUACUGGUUCUCCUAGCUCCACCGCAGAUUCUUCCUCAGAUCCCGAUACAGAGUCUACUGGAUCUUUCUUCCAU
rnacentral:misc_RNA from 1 species